rnacentral:rRNA from 1 species
GUACACACCGCCCGUCAAGCCAUGGGAGCCCGGGGGGCGCCUGAAGUCCGGGACCGCGAGGACCGGCCUAGGGCGAAACUGGUAACUGGGGCUAAGUCGUAACAAGGUAGC